GAUGGGGCAAGCCAUGGGACUGGAAGGCAGCAGGCAGAUGUCAGGGUUGGGGAUUACUGGCUCAGAAGCAGGAAAUCUCAUGUAGAAGCCCAGAACUUUCAAGAGAUAAGAAGUAGAGAGAUUCUGGUUUAAAGAGAGAUGACAGAAGCCCUGAAUGUCCUCUCUUCUGCUCCCCCAGAUACCUUCAUGGACUACAGGGCUGUACAUACGGUUAGACUCCUUGACCUCAAUGGUCAUGGGAUACAUGAACUUCAGGCUUAAUCUCUGUGUGAGAAAAACAGCAUGAAGAUAAUCAACUCUAUGUCAGAAGAAAUUGGCAACACUACUAACCACGAGUAAUGCACACCGAAGGAGGACCCGGGGAAGAACCAAGAGAAGACAAGAACUGAAGUUCUUCCAUUCCCACCUCUGCAUCACCUUCCCUGCUUUCUCUUUCCCCAGAAGAGACUCAGUCAACAUCCCAAAGACCAAUGAUUUCAUUGUUUUACACCAAAUAUCCCUCCUCUAAAUUUUUCAAGAAAUUGGGAAUAAACUUCUUACGCAAGAAAAUUUGGGGAGCAAAAGCAAGUAACCAGCCUAGAUGAGCACAUCCAACCUCUCUCCUCUUGAUUCUCACAUGUAUUACCCAGGGUCCUGUUUCUGCAGAAAGGAGGGAACCCUUGAGAACAUUUUCACUAUGUCACUUUAGCAGCCUAACUCUGUGGUACCCCUGAUUUAGGGAGGGUGAGGGGGUGGUGAAGACUGCAACCCCAAUAGAAGCAGGGAAGGUGACAUAGAGGUGAGAAUGGAAGGACUUCAGUUCUUGGCUUCUCUUGGUUUCUGCCCUGGGUCUUUCUGGCACUAUCUUUCCCUAAAGUAUUUCAUCUAAUUCCUCAAACAUCCCUGGAUAGCCUAUAUCAUAAAGUCCUUUAUGAUCUCUGUUUUACCUGGAAAGAAAGUGAGAUGCAAAGAAGUUUAGUAACUUGCUGAGACCACAGAACCAGACAGAGGUUGUGCUGAGACCCACCCAGAGCACCAGGCUCUUCAUCACAACCUCUUUUUGUAAUUUCCCACACAGUCUUCUUAAUGGCAUCAGGGGUGCACAUGUGUGUUCUCCCUGACCAUUAAACCCUCACUGGCAUUAACUGGACAAAUAGGAAGUUUAAAGAGGGUAUUUAACACCCCAUUCAUCUAGUCUCCCUGCCUGAGCUGCUCCCCCAUCCUAGAAUGUGCUUUUAUCUCCUGUGAUAACCAAAGACCCACUGGAUCCUCCCUGCCCCCUCUCUCACCAUAAGGGCCUCAAUGCAAGUUAAUGUCUCCAUUUUCCACAUUCCUAUUAUGUUUAUAGAUGGUUCUGUACAAUUUCAUGUUUUACAGACUUGUUCAACCAUUGAUAUAAUAACAACCAUGAAAACAAA
rnacentral:lncRNA from 1 species